UUUCAUAGUUUUUUAUUACUCUUUCGUAAAGAAAAUGGCCCUACUAUUAAGUCUUUUAACCUUAUACUUUCACGGAAACACCCCCUUGGGCUACCUAAGGAAGAUGUACAUUCUUCUUUAGGAAAAACAGAACCAACGGAGGUUAUAAAGCAUUUGUCUUCCGCUUUGUCUCUCGAUAUUGAACAGGUAAAAAAUACUCUUGAAUACUCUCGAAAAGGGACUUUGGCACAUCUUGGAUCCAAAGCUAUUUGCUAUUCCUCUUUUGUCUAUGUUUCCAAAAAAUACCCGAAACUGCAGCCUUUGUCCGUGUCUGACUAUUCUGCUUAUCUCUGUCGCGAUGAAUCCUUAAAAAAAGCUGCAAGAUUUUUGAAAUUGCACUUUUAUAGUUUUCAAUAUGAAAAUACCUUUCUUGUGGAGCCUCUUAAAACUCUUGUGGGAGCGGUUAGUGCCUUUAGAGGAAGAGAGCAGGCCUAUUCAUCAGUUUACGAGAACAUACUGCGACCGGAACAGAGAAGAGUAGCUAAAGAUAUGCUGUUGAUUUUGAAGUUAUUUCGACCCUGUUUGAUUCUCAAUCACAUCUGCCAAACAACUGAAGGGAUUUUGCCUCACGGAGAAUUGUAUAAUUAUUAUUAUCCGAAUGGACGCAAGAAUUAUUCUCAAGUUUUUAUCUACGUUGGCCAAAAAUUAUUGGGCAAAGGCACGGGGAAGACUGUCGAGUCUGCUCGAAAACUCGCGUCUGAAGCUGCUCUUUUUCAAAAUUAUAGAAGUCUUAUAGAAACUUGCCCCCUCCCAGCUGAACUGGAUUUUAUUAGAGAGGAAGAUGCCAUUUCUUUGAUUAUAAAAACACAGGAACCAAAGAUUCCUCUCAUAAGCGAAGUUUUAUAAUCCUGUCA